UGAGGAAUAUUGGUCAAUGGGCGAGAGCCUGAACCAGCCAAGUAGCGUGCAGGAUGACGGCCCUAUGGGUUGUAAACUGCUUUUAUAAGGGAAUAAAGUUAGUCUCGUGAGACUUUUUGCAUGUACCUUAUGAAUAAGGACCGGCUAAUUCCGUGCCAGCAGCCGCGGUAAUACGGAAGGUCCGGGCGUUAUCCGGAUUUAUUGGGUUUAAAGGGAGCGUAGGCCGGAGAUUAAGCGUGUUGUGAAAUGUAGACGCUCAACGUCUGCACUGCAGCGCGAACUGGUUUCCUUGAGUACGCACAAAGUGGGCGGAAUUCGUGGUGUAGCGGUGAAAUGCUUAGAUAUCACGAAGAACUCCGAUUGCGAAGGCAGCUCACUGGAGCGCAACUGACGCUGAAGCUCGAAAGUGCGGGUAUCGAACAGGAUUAGAUACCCUGGUAGUCCGCACGGUAAACGAUGGAUGCCCGCUGUUGGUCUGAACAGGUCAGCGGCCAAGCGAAAGCAUUAAGCAUCCCACCUGGGGAGUACGCCGGCAACGGUGAAACUCAAAGGAAUUGACGGGGGCCCGCACAAGCGGAGGAACAUGUGGUUUAAUUCGAUGAUACGCGAGGAACCUUACCCGGGCUUGAAUUGCAGAGGAAGGAUUUGGAGACAAUGACGCCCUUCGGGGCCUCUGUGAAGGUGCUGCAUGGUUGUCGUCAGCUCGUGCCGUGAGGUGUCGGCUUAAGUGCCAUAACGAGCGCAACCCCUCUCCUUAGUUGCCAUCAGGUUAAGCUGGGCACUCUGGGGACACUGCCACCGUAAGGUGUGAGGAAGGUGGGGAUGACGUCAAAUCAGCACGGCCCUUACGUCCGGGGCUACACACGUGUUACAAUGGCAGGUACAGAGAGACGGUCCCUUGCAAAAUGGAUCAAAUCCUUAAAGCCUGUCUCAGUUCGGACUGGGGUCUGCAACCCGACCCCACGAAGCUGGAUUCGCUAGUAAUCGCGCAUCAGCCAUGGCGCGGUGAAUACGUUCCC
rnacentral:rRNA from 1 species